CUGGAUAAGGAUGGACUUAUGUCGCGUUAGCUAGUUGGUAAGGUAACGGCUUACCAAGGCGACGAUGCGUAGCCGGCCUGAGAGGGUGAACGGCCACAUUGGGACUGAGACACGGCCCAAACUCCUACGGGAGGCAGCAGUAGGGAAUUUUCGGCAAUGGGGGAAACCCUGACCGAGCAACGCCGCGUGAAGGAAGAAGGAAUUCGUUUCGUAAACUUCUGUUAUAAAGGAAGAAAGAUGAUAUCAGGAAAUGGAUGUCAAGUGACGGUACUUUAUGAGAAAGCCACGGCUAACUACGUGCCAGCAGCCGCGGUAAUACGUAGGUGGCAAGCGUUAUCCGGAAUUAUUGGGCGUAAAGAGGGAGCAGGCGGUAACAAAGGUCUGUGGUGAAAGCCUGAAGCUUAACUUCAGUAAGCCAUAGAAACCAGGUAACUAGAGUGCAAGAGAGGAUCGUGGAAUUCCAUGUGUAGCGGUG
rnacentral:rRNA from 1 species